CGCAGGAUAGAGCAGUCUGGUAGCUCGUGGGGCUCAUAACCCCAAGGUCGCAGGUUCGAAUCCUGCUCCUGCAA
rnacentral:tRNA from 1 species